AACAUUAAAAAAUGCAAUUGACAGACACUUGUAUGACUUACAAAGUUAUUUUUGAUAGUCUUAACAUUACUUGAAUUAUUCAAAAUAACAGUAUAUUUUAAAUUAAGAAAGGUAAAUAUAUUAUUUGUUUGAUACAUUAAGACUGAGACUAACAAUGCUCUUGUUUAUGAUUUGAAAAGUUUUCAGGCAAAUCCAACUUAGUGUUUUUCCUUUCCCUAGCAAUUUUCCAGUGUCAACUCUUAGUUGCUAGUAAUUUUUUUACCUUAAAAAUGAAGUAAUUCGCAACUUUUGAGCAUAUGACGGAGAAUGCAAAAGUAGUCAGACAGCUUUAAUUGAUAUUGUGGAGACCUCCGGUUAUCAGGAAUACAUUUUUUUACUGCCUUAACCUCCUGUAGUGAGUAGAAUAUGCAUCAGUUUCUUGAAGGGGAUUCGUGUUUUUAUAAGAAUUUUCAUGUAACUAUUGCAAUUGUGGUUAAAAACAGAAAGGAACAUUUUCUGCUUGAAACUGUGUUGAUUUGAAUGACGUAUGAUCUGUCACCAUUUUCAGGCACUGUGUGAUCCCUAGGAAAGUGGCAGGCCUCUCUGUAACUGUUAAUAGUGCAUGCUCGGCCAUGUACACUGUAAAUAGCCUUUACCAAACGUGUUUGACAAGGACCAUAAUUAACAUCACUUUAGUAAAUUGUGAUUUUUUUAAAAAAAGCCAUGAUUUAUUGAUGUGAGUGGCUUGUUUUCAUGUGGCGCCAGAAAUGAACCUGUUUAAAAGCUAUAACCAAUGGUACUGAUCUAUCCAUUAAAUACUGUCCUUAAACUGUAGUUUAAUAGUAUUGUCAACUAGGAAAGCUAAAAUGGUUUUUGUUCUGUUGAAGACUGGCCUUAUUAAUGGACAGCUUUCCUCAGAAGUGAUUAACAACUUUUUUAUUGGGUGUUAACAUCUGUUUCAAGAACAUGGCAGUAUGUUUACAUGUCGUCAGAAGUUUUCUUUGAAUGGAAUUUCUAAAUUAAUUUACUUGUUUAAAUAAAUUCAGAACUGGGUAGCAUUGUUUUUAUUUGCUUCACUAUUGAGGUGAAUAAGAGCUGAUGUGCCACAAAUGGAGCCUUCAGAUGGCUGCUUUGAGCUUCGUGUUCCCUCAGGGGAUGCCAAGAUAUGUCUCAAGGAGAGAUUAAUGAGGGGUUUGUAAUUACAGAGUGUGCCAAGGUCAGUGCUCACAAGUUUAAUUGAACUCUCUCAACUCUACCUCACUGUUCCUUUUCCUUAUAAUUCUCUGGGCUAGGUCAAAUCAGAAACUUUAUUUUUCGGUUCAGUAUCUCCCGAUUCAAUCACUUGUAGGAGGUGGUAACUACACUUAGCAGUAAGAAUAUCACCUUUUUGAAGAGAUGUGUAUUAUGGGAGUGGAAGCACAGCGAUACACUGGGUAGGUCAGUGUGGAAGUCGCCUCUGUGCCUUCCUUCUCGCUGGCUUGUGAGCCAGGCCCCCCUCCCCCCCAACCCCCACGCCGGUAGAAGGAGGCAGGUAUAUGAGUCAAAAUCCAGUUCUCUUAAAAUCGUUGCUCUUUACCUCUCUAUAGAUCUUUGUGUGGCAGGGCAGUGAUUUUUUUUUUUUUUUUUUUGUCACUGAACAGAGGAACUGGCUUCUGUCAUCAACUCAGAAAACUCUGAUGCCACCUGUUUCCCUGAAAUAGGCUCUCUGAAAAGCCUUUCUGUUGUGGAGCAGGGCGUGGCCAUGUCAGAGUUCUCCAACUGCAUUAUACCUAUACCCUAAAUUGAGAAACAAACAGUUGAGAGAGUCCAAAAAUAAAAGUUGAAAUAUCAUUGAUGUAAUUACCAUGUUUCAUUUGUGCAUGCAUUUUAUUGGGGAUGGGAGGUUGGAAUAAUUUAUCCAAAUCUAAUGGUAUUAUUUCAUAGGCUAAUCCAGUUUGUAUUUGAGUUAAAGAUCCCAGAGUGUAGUAAUUAAUUGCAGCGUUUGGUUUUUCUUAAUUAAAAGUAGUCCUCUAUUAAUAUAGUGUGAAAUAUCAAAAUUUAGGAUUUAAGUUUAAGGUCUAAUGGCUAUUUUAAAGUUUUUCUGUAAAUUCUUUGCACAAACUAGAAUUGGAAUUGCUUUCAAAAGACUUGGGGAAUGAAAAUAUGUCAUGUGUAAGAUGCACUGAGUGUUGUAAAUAAAACAGACCAUUUUUGUUUUGUUUAAAUUGUUACAUUCUCUGUGGGAAGGGACUUUGUCCUUUUGUUGUGGUCUAAUAAGAUAUC
rnacentral:lncRNA from 1 species